rnacentral:rRNA from 1 species
UACGGAGGGGGCAAGCGUUGUUCGGAAUUACUGGGCGUAAAGGGCGCGUAGGCGGUCAGCACAAGUCAGUUGUGAAAUCUCCGGGCUUAACUCGGAAAGGUCAACUGAUACUGUGCGACUAGAGUGCGGAAGGGGCAACUGGAAUUCUCGGUGUAGCGGUGAAAUGCGUAGAUAUCGAGAGGAACACCUGCGGCGAAGGCGGGUUGCUGGGCCGACACUGACGCUGAUGCGCGAAAGCCAGGGGAGCGAACAGG